AAAUCUUGCCUAAUUCCAUGCCUGUGGGACACAAACCUGCUCAGAGCCACAGCACUGAACUGCAUCAUUAGCUGAGGCAAAAUCCCCUCAUUACUGCUGGACAAACACUCAAGAAAAGUGGUUGGGAAGUAAGUCCAUAGCUCCGCCUUCCAAGGAAACAAACAAACAAGAAGUCAUUGACAAUAAGGCUGUGGUAUAAACUGAUGAAGAGUAGGAGAUUCAGGGAGCUGAGCAAUCCUGAGAGCACAUGUGAACAAUUAAUCUUGUUGUUUGCUGCAAACAAGCUGAACCCCUCCAGCUGCAUGGAUGGGAAGCUCAGAUCUGCACCCCGCGCCCUGCUGUGCCAGCACCUGACCAGGACGAGAACGCAGUGUAUCCACUGAGCGUGAGCUCUGCUCUUUUAGAAGAUGGGCCUGGUGCUAGACUUCCCAAGUCACCUCCAGGGCUGUAAUUGGAGGUAAACAAAAUUUUCAUAUUAUGGUCUACAGAACACUGAAGCAUGAAAACUUGAAGAAUUCAAAGCAGAGGUACAGAAAAAACAGGCAGCAAUGAAGUAUGUGGCUCUUAGUACUUUAGGAGAGGCCGUUGAGCAAGACCUCCUUUGGAAUGUGGUUUGGCUGUUAAUUCUUGAUUUUGCUAACUGUUGUGUUGCUUCAGACUUUUCAGAAGUGUGUACAUAUCUAUGUUUGAAGGACUGUGGAAGGAUCCAACUGAAUCUUGCUUUGCCAGCUAGGGUUCAAAGGCUGAACUGCAAACUGUAGUUCUGAAAUGUGCCUCAGCCAUUAACUCAAGUCAGAAAUGUUACCUUUGCACACCUGUCCUAAGUAUACAGAAGAAAAACAUCAAAAAUUUUAACACAGUGGAAUUUUAUGAUCAUCCCAUGCCAGCUGUUUCAUCUUUUGACUCAAACAAUCUAUCAUGGCCUCAGCCUAAAAAUGGAGAACAUUUAAGACUAUCUUUGUCAGGGUUGAAACAAACUGUAGAAAGUAAAGUGUUCCUUUAUGAUGAGAUGCAUUAAAGCUGGCCCUUAAGUAACUUAAAGUUAAGACCAUUGAUCUUGGUUAAGGUUCAUAGGGAUCGAGAGCAUGCUGCUAACUACUAGUGGGUCUCAGUUGCCCAAAGGUAUUAAAGGAGUCAGAGUUCAGUUGCAGCUAAAAUUUCCUGUUUUCCUGGAUAUUACAAAGUAGCAGAUUUUAAAACAUGGUUAUAAGAUGGUUGCUCAAGAUGGAUUUUCAAGCAUGCUGUGAAAGGUCUGCACGUGCUUAACCUGAUGCUGUGGCCAAAUCACAUCAGUUCUUUGAUUAAAACAACAGUGCAGCAGUGCAGACCUGUUAAUUUAAGUUCUGCACAUCACAUGCCCAGUACGUCCAAGGGAUUUUAGAAAUCUGCGGCUUCCAAAAGAACAAGUUAUAGGGAAAAGGAGAAAAGCUGAUGAUGAUGGAGGCAAAGAUUUGCAAACAUUACCUGUGAUUAAAUUAUGGGACAGACAUAGACAUGGGAUGGAAGAAACUGCAAGAAACAAGUUCACAGGACUGAAGGGUUCCUGGAGGCUCUGAACAAGGUGCCAGUCUGAUGGGGCUGCCUGCAUACGCAUAUGAAAGCGAUGCCAUGCAAGAGUCCACUGAUAUCUAGGGAGAGAAAGAGGAGGAAAGCCCAACUAGUACUGAGGCCCUGUUAGAGAGUCUGCAGAGAUCAAGGACAUUCAAAGUUCUCUCUUGAAACAGGUCAAUCUGCAUGGAUGACAUAUAGUCUUCAUGGCAUUCCAACUUAUCACCUUGAUGUUCUGGCUCCUGGACCUUCCAGAUGUUCCCAGUAGUAUUAUCUGCAUGACCAGCCUGUGACUGCCCCAAAGCCUCAGCCCAGUACAACCACCAUUCCACUGCCUGAAGGCACUGGUCCUGUUUGUGAGGAAUCCUCUCUUGAACAAUGAGUAUGCACGACAGUUGCCAAACACACUGAUGACAUAAAAGAUCUUUGCACUGGGUACGUGGCUUGCCUAGGAAAAUUCCACUUGAACUCCGGAGCAAUCUGAAGAAUUUUGAAAGAAAGUUUGAGAGGGGAGAAUUUUACUUCACACUCUCUUGACUGAAGUCUGCUGCCUUUGAAGACAGACAUAAAGCUAACAUUGAUUUAAAUGGAAACAUAAAUAAAACAAUCCUGAUUGCUUCUGGAAGACCUGCCCUGAAAAUUCUGAGCUCAUAAAACUUCAGCUUUUAAUUCCACUGUUACUGUGUGUACUACAGUUUAAAAAGAAAGAGUUGCCUACUUAGGUUUUCAUUAAGCUGAUUGAUUUCAUAUCAGUUAAACUCGUUUAUUGUAUUUUCCCAUGAGCAACACUGUUUUGCUUAAAUUUCUGUGAAGUCCGCAAAUAAACCUAAUAGUUUAAGGAAACUGAAUGUAGGGAAAAUAAGGAAAACACUGCAGUAGUGUUGACACAAAUUGUUUCCACAUUUUGGGAAACGUGUUUCAUAAUUUGUGCUUAUUUGCAUUUUGAGAAGUGAUACAUAAGAUGAAGCAGUAUUACUUUUGAAAUAAAAUAAUGAAUGAAAUAUUAAAAUUACUUUUAAAAAAA
ensembl:lncRNA